ensembl:lncRNA
UGAGAAUUUGAUUUCCUGCUUUAUUUCAAUCCAAAUGUUUUAACUUUAUGUUGAAUGUAUUCCAAGAGCUUCAUCACAUUUUUAAAAAACACAAAACCCACCAAAUUUGAAAUAGCAAAAUGUCCCCAGAACAGCAGUUGUCUGUGUGUGGAUUACUCGGUGCGAGAGUGCAUGUGGAAGGACGUGAUCACAGUGAACACCGAUACAAGUCACAAGUCUAUUUAUAGAAAACAUAACUCUCAUCGCUACUAAUUUGUUCUACAAAGUUGUGUUUGCCACCGAUUCACAGCGAGGCAGACGAUGUGCAUCUCAAAGCACUAAAACUAUACCAAAAACUCACAAGUGCAGAGAAAAGCUGAACACUUACACCACUGUAUAAACUCAAACACACAGAGACAUUCAGUGCAGGUACAUUCACAUUGGGAACAGCGGUUUCUGCAGAGCGUGUUGACUUCUGACUGUGAGCUUGAUUGGUCCCUAAAUCUUUAGUAUUUAGUUACUACAGAGUCCCACAUUUUAAAUAAAAUGUAAAGAAAACAGAGGAGCUUUGCGAGUGGACACAAAGGAGUGAUAUAUGCUUUACAUUCAAUGUAGGGCUUCAGCCAGCACAAAGCUGCUGAGAUCUGAACACAAACUGCUGCUUACACAAGAAAGCAAAAAGGCACAGCAGCAGCAGCAGCAGGAUGUAAGACAGAAAUAAAAUAAGACACUGUUAGUACGGAGGACUGAAGCUGUCAAAAUUCAUGUACAACAAGGCAAUGAAUAAAGAUCAAAUUAUAAAGAUUAAAAAAGUAAAAAGUUGUACAACUCAAUUAAUGAAAAAAAGAGCGACAUAUUUGUCACCAUAUUGUUUCCCAUAAUAUCAAUUAUAUAGUAUUUAUUUAUUUCCAUUAAAUUUUUUCCUUCCAUUUAUCUCCACAAACGUGUUUCUUCAUUUCAUCUUUAUUUAGCUAAAACUGAUUUUUUUCUUCAUAAAAAUGAUGGCACUGUCAUGCAGAUAAAUUUCCUUUCUACCUCCAAACGCAUAACUUAACUACAAACUAAUAACAAUGGAAGAUUAAAUCACAAGUUAAAAAAAAAAAGAAAAAAAAAAUCAAUGUUAUAAAAUGUGCCAUAAAUUAAGUAAUACUUACGUUAAUUUUUACUUAUUAAUUUUAGCGCAUUUUAUAUCUUAUUUGUUUAUGAAGUUAUUAUUUCAGCAUUUUUGGUCCUUCAUAAUUUUCCAGAGAGAAAGGUAUGACAUGAAAUACAAACUCUCAGAGCUAGCUUCUUAUAUGCUUGAAGUUGAUUUAUUUUAGUUACUGAAUAAAACAUAUUCAAGUUAGAGUGACAUAGUGACUACAGGCUUAAAGUAGACUCUCUCUGCUUUAAUUCGAGGGGCUGAAUAAAAGUAAUCUCCAAGCUAUUGAGGAAUUACAGCCAAUUUUAGACACAUUACCCCAUUUCGAACUUGAAUAUGUUUUGGCCAGCAGCCAAAAUAAUGUUUGACAACAUGUUUCCCUUUUUUUUGUUAAGUAAUCUUGGAGCACAACACCCAUAUAUUUAUCACACAAAAAACAUUUUAACUGAUUAAACUGAUUUAAGGUCAAACGAGUGUGAGUGAAACUGGCUUAAAAAUGUAAAUUUGGCAACAAAAAUUGAACAAAAAGGCAACAAAAAGUCAGGCCUACAUGUUAUAACAGCACUCAAACACACACACAAAACUGUUUUCAGCAAUGAUAACAGUUUGAAGUAAUUGUGGCAACAGAUUUUUUCUCUAUGACUCUUUCCAUUCAAAAGCUUCAACAUAUCAGAUGCUCUCUCUUCUCAUUAAAACAAAAGUCUUAUUUCUGUCAUAUUUCUUGUAAAAGGUCUCACUUCAUUCAUAUUUU